AAUUGCGUUAGAAAAUCGAAUAAAUAUCAGAACUAUAAUAGGAAAGAUAUUAAUUGCAUUUCAAGGCACUCAUAUCUUUACAGCAAUCGUAAAUAUGUUGUUUACGCCAGCUUUUCUCGUAGCUGUCACAGCAUUGGCUGUAUUUCUUGAUGGCGCACUAGCAGAACUCCACUCCCUUAAUCUCACACGUGAUUGGCCUGUGAAACACCAUGAUGGCAUUUUAACACCAUGGGUUUAAACCUAGGUGGUUCCUUAAGGAACUCCCACCGGCUGACAGUGGCGCUGUACUGACCGAGGAUUUUAUUACCUACAUUUCAUUCCAUGGUUAAGAUUAUACCUUUUAGCAAAUCAAUUCCAUCCAUACUGUACAGAAAAUCUAAAAAAAAACAACGGUGCGACACAAGUAUCGCUCAGUUAACAUGUUAUUUUAUACACUGGGAAAUACUGAAUACGAAACGUUGUGAUUUAAAAUAAAAAUAAAAUUAUCUAUCACAACAUAAAUUGUAUUUGUAAAUCGCACUAAUUGUA